UACGGGGGGAGCAAGCGUUGUUCGGAUUUACUGGGCGUAAAGCGCGCGUAGGUGGUCCCGUAAGUCCGCUGUGAAAGUCAAAGGCUCAACCUUUGAAAGCCGGUGGAUACUGUGGGACUAGAGUACGGAAGAGGCGAGUGGAAUUCCUGGUGUAGCGGUGGAAUGCGCAGAUAUCAGGAGGAACACCGGUGGCGAAGGCGGGUCUCUGGGCAGUAACUGACGCUGAGGAGCGAAAGCGUGGGGAGCGAACAGG
rnacentral:rRNA from 1 species